rnacentral:rRNA from 1 species
AUUGAACGCUGGCGGCAUGCUUUACACAUGCAAGUCGAACGGUAACAGGGAGCUUGCUCCGCUGACGAGUGGCGAACGGGUGAGUAAUGCGUCGGAACGUGCCGAGUAGUGGGGGAUAACGCAUCGAAAGGUGUGCUAAUACCGCAUACGUACUGAGGUAGAAAGUGGGGGACCUUCGGGCUGCCCGCUAUUAGAGCGGCCGACGUCUGAUUAGCUAGUUGAGGAGUUAAAGGCUCACCAAGGCGAGGAUAAGUAGCGGGUCUGAGAGGAUGAUCAGCAACACUGGGACUGAGACACGGCGCAGACUCCUACGGGAGGAAGCAGUGGGGAAUUGUGGACAAUGGGCGCAAGCCUGAUCCAGCCAUGCCGCGUGUCUGAAGAAGGCCUUCGGGUUGUAAGGGACUUUUGUCCGGGAGCAAAUACCCAGUGCUAAUAACGCUGGGGGCUGAGAGUACCGGAAGAAUAAGCACCGGCUAACUACGUGCCAGCCGCCGCGGUAAUAC